rnacentral:rRNA from 1 species
GACGAACGCUGGCGGCGUGCUUAACACAUGCAAGUCGAACGGCAAGGCCCUGCUUUUGUGGGGUGCUCGAGUGGCAAACGGGUGAGUAACACGUGAGUAACCUGCCCUUGACUUUGGGAUAACUUCAGGAAACUGGGGCUACUACCGGAUAGGAGCUCCUGCUGCAUGGUGGGGGUUGAAAAGUUUCGGCGGUUGGGGAUGGACUCGCGGCUUAUCAGCUUGUUGGUGGGGUAGUGGCUUACCAAGGCUUUGACGGGUAGCCGGCCUGAGAGGGUGACCGGCCACAUUGGGACUGAGGUACGGCCCAGACUGCUACGGGAGGCAGCAGGGGGGAGUAUGGCACAAUGGGCGGAAGCCUGAUGCAGCAACGCCGCGUGCGGGAUGACGGCCUGCGGGUUGUAAACCGCUUUCGCCUGUGACGAAGCGGGAGUGACGGUAAUGGGUAAAGAAGCACCGGCUAACUACGUG